UGGUGAUGUGUUAGAAAACCUUGGAGAUGGGCUCCCUGAGGGUUCCACCCCUAGGCCAGCUCCGAGAGUGACUAAAAUAAAGAACUUAAGAAAGAAGUGGCAAGAAAUGCAGCUAGACAUCUGAAUGCGGAAGGGCAGCGGAGGACUCCGAGGAUGCUCGAGUGGACGGAAGAGCCAGUGCUUGCAAGAAGCCCGGAUUCCUGAGUCACCAUGUGGAACAGCUGCAGGAGGGGGCUGCCCCAACCAGAUGCAUGAGGGUUAAUCCCCUGAGUUUCCAGAGUUUGUUUUUCCUGUAGGAGAGCUUCUCCUAUUGUCAUUCAUACCCAAAAUCAGAGAUUCUGGAACAAUUUUUAAAAAUAUGAUAUUUAAGUUUUUUUAAAAAAACUAUCUUAAAUGGGCAAAGCCAGAACUUUGUUAGGCUUCCUUAGUAAUUCAGAGUUUUAAAAAUGUUCAGUAGCACAUGAAGAGCACAGUAAUUAAAUUUCUAUGCUUAGGGUUUGUGAAGGUCUUACCCCAGUCUGUUUCUUUGGCCACUGAGGCACCAGAGAUGCACAGUGAAGAAGGACAGCUCAUUGGACCCUUUCUGGGUCUGCUGGCUCUUUUCUAGAUAUGCUUUCUGUUCCCAAAGAUUUCUCCUUUUGUUCGGGAAUUCCCUUUUCUUGGAAUAUUUACCUCACCCUCUCUUUCAAGCUCAGUUCAACUCUAUUUCUUCCAAGAGCCUUUCUAGAUUCCACAGGGAAUAGUUAAUUUUAUUUUUCUAUAAUUCUAUGUAUUUUUUUAAAUGCAUUUACAUUUGUAUCUAUCCCCUUCCACCAAAUACACACACAGGCACGCUUUGAAAUGCAACUAAAAGAAGGCCGGUGUUAUUUCUUACUCACUGUCCUCUUCACCAUAAUAUCAUGCUCUGAAUGCAGAAAAAGUUCAUUGCAUUUGUAAACUUGAAUAAAAUCAUCUUUGGCUGAA